AUAUUAUAGGAAAGUUACCAGGUAUGGCAAUAAAAAAAAGAGGAAUAUGGUAUGCAUUGUACGAAUAGGUAGCCAAAGAAAAAUUUGUCUUGUAAUAAACCCUGAAUAGACAAAAGUAACACUGGCAAAGCACUUGAAAUGUCAUAAUUAUCCAACUUAAAAUGGCUAAUAGACCGUGGCUAAAAUAGAAUGGUGAAAGAGGGCUUAGGCCUUGAGACUUGUGUUGAGUAAUGGGCAUUCACACUCCCACCCCUCUUCUAUCUGAAAUUGAAAGGAAUGAAGAACUGGAUCCCUAGCCACCCGGUGACCCAACCCUGCCGCCGUUAGUCACGUCCACCACCGUAGCCACCUCAACCCUGCAGCCCCAUCGCGUGUGGGAGUUGCCGUCGCAAGAGCGUGAGGUCAUCUCCUCUGUUCGAGCACGCUCUCACUUUGUUCACCGUGCGUCUGUCACCGCCACCGUGCCCCCCGCCACCGUCUCCUCUGUUCGUGCUUCCCUCGACGACGUGAGGAAACGUCACUGGACAUUGGCAUGGACGAGGCAGCCUCUGGAACAAGAUAUUUAGAUGAUGGUGGUGACCUAGGCAAUGAUGUACGUGACAGCGGUUUAGUACGGCCGGAGGAGGUGAUGGAGAUGUUGUUUAACUCUCCCGACCUUGACCAGCUCCGACAUCAUCGUGACAACGGUGCCAGUUCUAGUAACCCAUGAUGGACGGUCUAGGCACCAGACCUGCAAUCAGAGACCGCCCCUCGUGACGUUUCCAAGUGCCGAUCCAGUAAACUUAUCAUUGAAAUUGGCUUUGUGCUUCUUGUGUUUUCUUGACUAUAAUUUCUAAGAGGUGAAGAUGGAACUUUCCCUGAUUUUGCUUGUCAUGAUCCGUUAUAUUCCGGUUUUACCUAAUUUAAUGUAACAUUGCAGAAUCUAAUCUUUUGUUUAUAAAUAUUAGUAUAGAAUUUGUCUAA